rnacentral:lncRNA from 1 species
AAAUAAUGACAGGGCUCGUGAUAAGUGUUCUGUGGCAGCAAGAACAAUAAACACAGCUUCAAAGAAAUCAGACUGAAAUUAAGAAAUCAGGCAAAAUGCCAAAGAAAGAAAAGAAACCCUAAGACUACUUCUCUUACUAUUUGUCCAUUUGGAUUUGGAUUUCCUCAGGAACCUGUUGGGAAGGACAUUGUUCUAUGAUUAGAUAGAUAGAAAUAUUGAGCAAUUCACAGCCAUCUAAAAAAGGCAUCUGAAAGAGUGAACUCACAGGAUAGAAUUUUGAAAUUGUGUCAGACCAUUAGAAAUUAUAAAAUCCCACACUCUCAUUUUAAUUAAAAAGGAAAGAAACAUGGAGUUCCCGUUGUGGCUCAGCAGAAAUAAAUCUGACUAGCAUCCAUGAGGACACAGGUUCAAUCCUUGGCUUCCAUCAGUGGGUUAAGGAUCCAGCAUUGCCGUGAGCUGUGGUGUAGGUUGCAGACACGGCUUGGAUCUGGUGUUGCAGUGGCUGUGGCAUAGGCUGGCAGCUACAGCUCCAAUUCAACCCCCAGCCUAGGAACUUCCAUAUGCUGUGGAUAAGGCCCUUAAAAAAAAAAAUUAAUAAAUAAUAAAUCACGUGGAUUCUCCCAAUCCAGGGACAGCAUUUUGAGAUCUGAUCUAUUUCUUCAAAAAUGAAGGAGUGACACAGGAGAGAGUACCAGAGGGACUAAUUCAAAUUCCAAGGGUCAAAAAUAUCUGUUGCAAUGUGUAAGAGGUUAUUAAAUCCAUUAAGAAUUCUGUAGAGAGGUUGUAUAUUUAAAAGAAGAAGAACUAUAAUUAAGUACAUUACAACGUUUUCAAAAUUCUUCCAGCUUGACAUAAAUGCACCCUCACAUCUACAGAUACCCAAUUCAAAAAUAACUUAUUUUCAAUGAAGAACAAAUAAGCGAAACUUGACAGAAGUGUUCUUUUUGCACAUCACCACACCACAGACUCCACUGGCUUAAACUGUCUUCCCAGAAAUCUUUAUACUCUUAGCUGAUGAAUGACCUUUUAGCACCGCAUCCUAACACCACAUUGUGGGCUGGUUCCAUCUGGCCCUCGACCAAGUAUUUCGUCAUCUAUGAACAUAUGUUUAAGAGCAUUAAGAGACAGUUCCAUAUUCAAAGAAACUCUUUGUUGAAAUCUUUUAAGUGAAGCAAAGAUAAAUAAUUACUCCCCCAUUGUACCCUUCUGGAAGUUCUGUUUACAUAUUCUGCAUU